CACACAAACACAAAAUUAAAAUAAAAAUAAAAAAAGGCCAAUAAUAGUUUAACAAACUCAAUAGAACUAAUACUAGAGAACCGCUAAUACUGCAUGGUAGCAGAGCAAACUGUCCUAAUUCUUCCAUAUUAUUAGGUUUAAUGAUAAUUGCUCAAUUAGGUAGGGGAACCCCAACAGGAAGCUCACAUCAAAUCUUUGACUGCUGAGCAAUCUUGAACCAUUCGGUAUGGAAAGAUCCUGUUGUAUCAAUCCUCUCAUAGGUAUGAGCUCCAAAAUAAUCUCUUUGAGCUUGGACCAAAUUAGCAGGCAGCCUGUCCCUCCUGUAGGAAUCAAAGUAAGCAAGACUAGAAGACAUACCCGGAGUGCUAAUGCCUGAGUUGAUGGCAAGGCAAACAACCCUUCGCCAGGCAGACUGUCGCUCAACUAUCUCCUUUGCAAACUCUGGAUCCACAAGAAGGUUAGCAAGAUCUGCAUUCCUAUCAUAGGCCUUCUUGAUACGGUCCAAAAAUAUUGCACGAAUAAUGCAACCUCCCUUCCAAAUCCUGGCAAGCUCACCCAGUUUCAAAUCCCAUCCCUUCUCAAUGCUCUUUGCCCGGAUAAGAUUCAUUCCCUGUGCAUAACUACAAAUUUUGGAUGCAUAAAGUGCCUGCCUCACAUCAUCUAUCAACUUCUUCUUGUCCACAGUCUGGUCAGACAAGACGUUUUCAAAACCACUUGAUUUGAAAACUUUGGCAGCUUCAACACGCUCUUCCUUCAGCCCACUGAGGAACCUUGCAUCCAAAGAGGAUGCUAUAGUUGGGGCUGCAACUGAUAGGUCAGCAGCUUGCUGAACUGUCCAUUUACCAGUCCCUUUCAUGCCAGUUUUGUCCAAAACCUUGUCUACCAAAAAUCCGUCUCCCUUAUCAUCCUUAAUACUGAAGAUAUCUGCAGUAAUCUCAAUCAAGAAGCUCAAAAGCUCCCCCUUGUUCCACUCCGAGAAAACAUUACGCAAUUCCUCAUUGGAGAGCUUACCAACUGAUUUAAGCACAUCAUAGGCCUCUGCAAUCAGCUGCAUAUCACCAUAUUCAAUACCAUUGUGAACCAUCUUAACGAAAUUUCCAGAACCCCCUUUGCCAAUGUAAGUCACACAGGGGCCACUAUCAGGAACUUGAGCAGCCACUUUAAGAAGGAUAUCUUCUAUGUACUUGUAAGCCUCAAAUGAACCUCCAGGCAUCAAAGAUGGCCCAUGACGAGCACCCUCUUCACCACCUGAAACUCCCAUGCCAAGAUAGAGCAGACCCAGUUCAGCCAUGGCUUUCUCUCUCCUCUCCGUGUUCUCAUACCACUCAUUGCCACCAUCAAUGAUACAGUCUCCUUUCUCCAAGUAACCGGACAGGGUUUUGAUGGUCUGGUCAACUGGAGCCCCAGCCUUAACAAGCAUGAUUAUGACACGGGGCUUUUGGAUUGAAUUAACAAAGGAUUCAGGAUCAUGGAAGCCAUAUAAGGGAAGGUUUCCUUCCUGUUUGGCUCGUUCAACGGUUUCAUCGACUUUUGAGGUGGUUCGGUUGUAAACAGAAAUUGGGAAUCCUUUCUCAGCAAUGUUGAGGGCAAGAUUUUGACCCAUGACUGCAAGGCCAGAAAGGCCAAUUCUUGAUACAGGAGCCAUUACUUUUUCCUGUUCAAAGUAUUGGACAAUCUGUGAGAUCGUGGAAACUGCAAAUCUUGCAGCAUAGAACAGCAUAGAAAUGAGAAACAAAGAUAAAAGAACCACAGAAUGACUUGCUGGAAAUCAGGACAGAUUAAUCAAGGAUAAAAGACAGUGUCUACACUCUCCAAAUAUAUGUCUAUGAUGACAAUAGAGUGGUCAAUCUCCAUGAGAAUCUUUCAUGCUACCAACCAAUAGGGAAUAAGACCAGAAACUUCUAAAUUUCUAAUAUUGAAAAAGAAGAUAAGGUAUUGUUAAGAGCAUCUACCAAAUUUAGGGACAGAGAUAUCAGGGGCAGAGAAAUUCACCACCCUGCAAGUAUUCUUCUUAAAGAAUAAAAAUGAAUAACCAAAAAAUAAAUAAAUAAAUCAAUUUCGAACUUCCAACAAAAUUUCAUCUGCAAGCCACAAGUCAUAGGUAUAGGUUUUCAUUCAAUUCAACCAAAAGAAAAAAUAUCAAAUUUCAGUUCCUAAAAAGAGAUUGAUGGUCUAAUAUCAUAAACUCGUAAAGUGCAAAGUGAUAACCCAAAAGGCAAGACCUAAAAACUGAAACCAAGAAUAAUUAAAGCUCCAUCUUCUUCAAUGGCAAAAAAAUUUCCCAAAAUACAUAUCUCCAAACAGUAAAAUGAACAGCAAGCUAUGUUAUGGAAAAUUUGCAUAACCAAUACAAAUAAGGAUGGGCAUGUCCAGCAUAUGCAUUGGAAAAUUUCAUUCCAAAAAUCAAAAUGGAAGCAACUUUUCAUUAUUUUAAAAGUGCAGAACUGUUAGUAGCAUUGUUAGCAAUGACUUAGCAUUUUCCCUGAAUUUUAAACAAAACUUCAUUGAUAGUUUACCAAUACCAUUUACUUUUCAUUAUUUUAAAAGUGCAAAACUGUUAGUAGCAUUGUUAGCAAUGACUUAGCAUUUUCCCUGAAUUUUAAACAAAACUUCAUUGAUAGUUUACCAAUACCAUUUUCCGGCCUGGUUGCAACUUACUAACAGAAAACCUAAUCCUUUAUGGUCCAAAUCUAAGAUUUUUCUGAAUCACCAAAUUUCAGCCAACUUUAGGCAAUCUGAACUAUUCAAUUUUUUGUUUGUUUGUUGUUAUGAUUUUUUUUUUUUAAUACAUCUGAACCGAAAUAAUUCAUUCCAAUUUCUAGCUAAAUACACAAUUUCUACAAAAGCAGCCAACUCAUCCCCUUUUUCUCCAAAUUCCUAAUCCUAAUCUAAACUUUUCAAAUUUACAAUAAAAAAUUUCACCCGAAUGUUAACCUGAUUGGACAAAGGUGGUCUACUCUAUAUCGGAAAAGGAAGAUUGACCAACAUCCAGAAAAUUCUGAACAGUAUUUCAAGGAUCUACUUUUCCCAAACACCAAACAAAAUUGAACUGAAAACCAAUCAAACCAUAAGAAAAGAAAGACCUGAUUCACCAACAACAGGAGAAAUAUGAACAGUAACUUUUCAACAGGAGAAAGAAGAACAGUAACUUUGUGAUCCUAAAGUGGCACUAAAUAAAGGGCUUAGCAGUAGCAACAACACAGAUUCUCCAAACAAGAAUCAAUCAAAUGAUAUCAUCAGAUCAACACACCACAAACCAAACCCACGAAGAAGAAACCCUAGAUCACCAAUUCACCAAUACAUAUGAAGGAUAAACAAACCCAUGUAAAAAACAAAGAUCAGACGCUCUCAUAUUCAACAAUGACUAAAAAGUAGUAAAAGGGAAUCCAUAAUCCUCCUAUACCUCUGAAAGUGCGAACAAAUGACGAUAGCUUGAAAGUGAGACAGACCCAGAAAAAAUGGAGAUCUGGGUUUUGAAGAACACCAACGGUUUGGUUGAAAAAGGGCGAGAGGCUCACCCCUAUGUAUCUCUAAGGCUGCACACAAGGCGGGUCAAAGUUGGCCAACUAAGCACUUUUCCCUUCUGCUUUGGUACAUAUUUAAGUGGUGGAUUUGUAAUUCCCUUUCUCACUGAUUUUUCAUUUUUCAAUAAACCAAUGGAACCCACUCGCCUCACGGUCCACGCUCCCUAUCUCAUCCGCCCUUCUGUUUUCCCAUAUUUUCCCAUCAUUUCCCUUUACUUUCUUGAAUGCUGUUUGGACCACCACUUUAUUUUGGUUGGCUGAGUUCUUAAGGUUUUAUUUUGUAAUUUAAAUGAGAACAAUCUUGAAAAUGGAUAGAAAUGAAAACAAAAUCAAUGUUUAAGACGUUUCAAUUCGAUUUAAAAAAAUGAUAACCUAAAAAACUUUUUUUUUUUCAUAAUAUAUGAUUAAAUACAAGUUAUAUAAUGUAAUUAUAAAAAACGAACUUAAUUACUGUCAAUAACAUAAAAUACAAUAAGUGAUAAGAUUUAUGGAAUAAGAGAUAAAUUAUCACAACUCAUUUUAUAUCCAAUAAGUGAUGAAGUGUAUUAUUCUAAAUUUUAUUAUAUUUUUUAUAGAUGGAUAUAAUAAUUUUAAAUUGAAAUAUGAUAUAUACAUACUCUAUAAAUUUUAAAUUUACCUUGUUUUAUCUAACUUCUUUAUUUUUAUAAAUUUUCUAUAUUUUUAUUUUACAAAAAAAAAAUUGUGAUUAAAAAAAUUUAUUUAAUAAAUCAUAAAUUGUAAAACGAUUUUCAAAUAAUGUGAGAAAUUUAAUUUUUUUUAUAACAAAUAUUACAAUGUAAUAUGAUUUUUAUUUUAAAUAAAUAUCAAAUAUUAAAAAGUAAUAUGUGUUUUCCUUUUUUUAUUUAUUUUAUAAACCAAAUAUAGAUGCCAUAUAUCUUAUUGAAUAUAGUAUUUUAAAAUAUUAUUUUUAUUGGUGUGUCCAGAUGAUAUAAUAUAUCUUAUUCAACAAAAGGUAAGCUUUAUUAAUAUCUCGAAGAAAAAGAUGAAGAAGAGGAAAGAAAAAAGUUAGUGUUACUAUUAGAUUCGACCAAAAAAUGCAUGAAAUAUUAAUUAUUUUUAGAUAGCUAUUUGAAAUUUAUAUUUUAUGAAUUGGGGUUUGUUUAUUUUUUUUUAUUUUUUUUCAUAUAAGUGUAUGAAAAUACAUUUUUCCUGAUUGAUUUUCCAUUUUUACUCUAUAUUUAGGUUUCAAACAUGCUUUAAAAUAUUACCAUUUCUAACUUAUAUUGCCAAUGAAUAAGAAAGUAGGAUUUUUAUUUUUAUUUUUUAUAGAAAGCCAAAACACCAUCCCAAGACUCCUUUGACUUACUUCAAUUUUAUUUAUUUUUCUAGAAAAAUACUAAUUUUGAGAAAAUGUUAUUCAAAACAAUUUCUAGAAUUGCAUUUUUCUUAAUCUCUUUUAAUUUUUUUUUUUAAAUCUAGGACAUCAAAUUGGUAUUUAUCAAAGAUUAAAUUUGUGCCAUUAAAAGUAUAUAGUGAAAUCUAUAUUAUUGGAUGAAGUUAUAAAUAUACGAGACCAAAUAUAAAUAAAUAUGAUAAAAAAAUCAAAUAAUGAGAUUGAAUUUAAGUAUAAAGUAAUAAGAUUUAAAAUGUAUAUAUGGGAACUUUUAAUUUAAUUUAUUUUUUAAUAUGUACUAAAUCCAUAUAGUCAUGAGAUCCUUCAAUCUAUUUAAAUAUCAAAUAUAUUUUUUGUUACAUUUAAAAUCUAAUAUGUAAAUAAAAUAUAAAGGGUGACAUGUGAUGAAAUUUGGAAGGUUACGGGUAAAUAAAUUCAAAUAUUUCCAUUAAAAUUAAAAGAAAAUUUAAAAUAAAUAUCUUUAUUGGAAAAUUUCUAAAUAAAAUUAAUCUUUCGAAUUGAAAUUUUUUAAAAAUAAAUAUUUUCUUCGUUGACAAAUUUUUAAAUAAAACAAAUCUUCCAUUUGAAGUUUUUGAAAAAUAAAUAUUAUCUUAUUAACAAUUUUUUUUAAUAAAGUUGAUAAAUUAUAUUUAAAAUGUAGGAAUGUGAGUUUUUAUUUUCAAAUAAAUCAAAGAAAAAUUGAAAUAACACCAUUUAGCAAUUUUGAGGGAGAAAUGGGCGGAUUUUAAAGAGGGUGCAAAAUGAGAAAGCCCCUCAAAAUCAGGGGCAGAGAGUAUUUAACUCUUCAUUUUAUUUUCAAAAAUAAAAACACUUUUCAUCUCUGCUAUAUUGGAAAUGGAACUCAUCACGUGAUGGUUUUAUUUUCAUUUUAUGCAUAGGGUCAAAAAUAUAUAUGGACAACAAUGUAAGCCCAUGUUUGCAAAUAAGGUAAAAAAUGAAAUCAAAUAUUUUGAAAUUGUUUGAUUUUGCUACUACAAAAUCAUUUCCAUCGCCUACUCAAUGAUGCUAUGUUUGUUUUCCAUUUGUUUUUUUUAAAACAAUAAAUAUAGGCAAAACUAUAUAUUUUUUAGGGUUAAUUCAUUCAUCUUGUCGAGGUUUUGAUUUAAUAUAUUUAGUUUCAAUUCAUUUGAAUUUUUAUCAUAUACUUUUCUUAUUGUGAAUAAGAUGAGAGAUACCUGAAAAUAAAAAAUAAAAUAAAAAAAGAUAUAUAUUUAAUAAAAUUUUAAAUUUAUGGGGUUAAAUAUAUUUAGCCGAAACCUUUGGAGUUGACCCAUAUUUUUUAAUAUGUAAAAUAUUUAUUUAGUGUUUAUUAAAUAUAUCAAAAUAUCUUAAAUAACUUAAAAAUAAAUAUUUCAUUAAAAAAUUGGGAAGCAUGAUGAGCAAUGCAUGAAAUCAUGCUGCAAAUGAAAUUAAAAAUUAAUUUUUUUACUACUAUAUUUACAAAUUUAGCACAAUUAUUGGGACUCCCCACCGAUUAUGAUAAAGCCAUCAAAGGAAGUAGGUGUGUGAAUGCGCAACCUCCCUUUGAAGUUGAAGUGGGUUGGUGGGUGGUUUGGUAAAGAAAAGACAACUAGCUUUCCUAUGACUUGACUUCGUAUUGGGAAAUGAUUUGGUAGAAAGGGAUCCAUUUUCAUGUUCAUGUUAGGUAGAAAUUUUUUUAAUUCAAAUUUGAAUUAGUUUACAUUGGUGGAUGGAAUAAUUCUUUUUUAUUUUUAUAAAUAAUAUAUUUUAUGUUUGGUUUCGAAAAAAAUAGAAAUGAAAAGUAAAGAGCAAAGAAAAAAGAAAAAAAAAAUUAAAGUUGAUACAUUAUCAAUUAAUAAAUUAAUAAAACUAGUUACACUAGUUUAAAUUUUUAAAUAGGAUAAGGGUGAGAAUUAUUUUGAAUAAAUAAGACAAGUUUGAUAAGGGGAUGACUCAUCCUGAACCUAUCUCGUUGCCAUCGUAUCAAACAAUAAAAUAAAAUUAUAGUCCUAUCCAAAUACUGAGUAUAAGUAGUAUGAAUAUUCUUUUCUUAUCUUAGCACACAAUGAAAUUACCGGUUAUACCUAGGGAUGACAAUGGGGUAGGUUCGGGAUAGGUUGCCCCCAUCCCAACCCCACCCUAUUUAUCCGAAAUAAUUCAUAUCCUCAUCCCAUUAAAAAAAUUAAAUGGGCCUAGGCUAAUAUGAGAAAUUCUCAUACUCGCUUGGACCGCCCCCUUUAACUUUUUUAUUUUUUAAAAUUUAAAUUUAAAUUUUUUUAAUAACAUUAAAAUAAAUAUAUUUUAUAAAUAAUUAAAUUAUUGUAAUUUUAAGGACAAGACAAUAUCUAAACUCACUCCAAACUAAAAUUAGUAAGUAAUUAUUUAUUUAUUUAUUAAUAAUAUUUUUAUUAAAAUAUUUAAAAUUUAUAACUAAAAGUUUUCAUAUUAUAUUAUUUAAUACAUAUAAAUAAUUAAUAUUAACAUUAUUUUACACUUUCUUUUUUGUUAUUCUUUUUUAACUACAAAUUUAAUUUGUUUAAAUAAUUUUUUUUUAGUGAGGUUAUGUCUAGCAACUGGGGGAUCAUAGUAAAAUCGCACCUUAGGAUUAAUAUAUCCCAUAUAAAAGCUAUAUAAAGAAAACUUAUUCUAAUAUGAAAUAUGAAAUGAGAUGAGAUUACUGUUCAUAUCUUAUCAUCAAUCAAACAUUAAGUAAUUUAUGUCAUUUCUUAUUUUAUCUCGUACUAUAUUCAACCACCCAAAUAUUAUCAUAGUAUUUAUAGACUUUUUUUCCCUUAAAAUGUCAUUUCAUAUAUUGAAAAUUCUUAAUAUGUUUUAUUCUCUAUAUAUUAUUCUUUUUAUAAAAAAAUAUUCUUUAAUAUAUGUUAUUCUUUUUACAAAGAAUAACUAAUUUACUUAUUCUUCUAUUUUUAUAUUUUUUUUAAAUCUUAUCUUUUCAUAUAUUCCAUAAUAAAUUUAUAUAUAUAUAUAUAUAUAUAUAUAUAUGUAUAUUUUCUCAUAUAACCUUUUGGUGCACUACACUUUUCAUGUUCGAAUAGGCUAGACUCGUCUUUCUCGUCUUUUUAUUUGGUGAAAAAUUGAUAUUUUGAAAAAGACUUUGACCUGCCACUUUUUUUAAGUUUUUUUUUAAGAGAAAACAAAAUAAAAAAGAAAACCUUAUUGACUCCUUAUUUAAAAAAGAUAUAUAUGCUAAAAUCGAGUCCAUAUCUACAAAAAUAUCAAAAUUCAAUCAAAUUUUAUUAAUGCAAAAAGGAUUAUUAAUAGAAAAACAAAAAUUUACAAAAUUAAUUACAAAAAUGUUUCAAUCCCCUUUUUGAUUUAUAAAAAAUUAAAUAUUCUUUGAUUUCAUAUAAUAUAUAUAUAUAUAUAUUAAAAAAUAAAAGAGAGAAAAAAAAGUCUUUGUUUGAUUUAAGAAAAAAGUUUCAUAAUUUUAUUAGAAGAAAAGAAAAAUUAUUUUUGAUUUCAUAGAAAGAAAUUUCAAUUUUAUUGUUAGUCUUUUAAGGUUUUGAAUUUAUUAUAUAUAAAAAAAAAAGAGUUUAACAAAUUUACUUAAAAAGUGAUUUUUCAAAUUUUAUUCAUAAAAGCAUUCCAAUUUGAUUUUUGAUUUAAAAAGGAACUUCAAAAUUCUAUAUUUAGAAAAUUUUACAUUUUCACGGUUUUUAAGAGAAAGAAAUUUUACUUGACCUUUACCAAAUAAAUAAAUAAAUAAAAUAAUUUUUAAGAUUUUGUGUUAAAAAAAAAAGAUCUCAAUUCAAUUUUAUUUUAAAAAACCGUUUACAAUUUUAUUUAUGGAAAAAAGUCUAUUACAAUUUUUAUAUAAGGUAAAAUUUGCUUAACUUUUAUUAAGAAAAGAAAUUUGUCUUUCAUUUUAAAAAAAGAAGAAUUUUUUAUAUUAUAAAUUUAUCUAAAAAUAAAAUUUAAUUAAUCUUUUAUUUCAAAACAAAAACAUUUUCAUAAUUUUAUUUAUAAAAAAAAUCUAGGCUUAAAAAAAAGAUUAUUUUAUUAGUUUAUCCAAAAAAAAUUGUUUAAUACUUAUUGAAAGAAAAUCUUUUACAAAUUUAAUUGGGAAGAAAAAAAAAAGAAAACAAAAUGUUUUUCCUUAAAUAAAUAAAAUACAAGUUUAUCUAAAAGGAAUUUGGUUUAUCUCAUAUUUAUUAAAAAAAAUGUUUUGAUAAUUUAAUUUAUAAAAUAAUUUUAAUCCAAAAUGCUUUUUCAAUGUUUUAGAAAUUGGACUAGUGAUUGAAAUGGAAAAGUUACCAAUUCACAAUUCAUUGGUCCCAGUUCAUUAGAAAAGUUAUUGAUGAUCAAAUCGUGGUCAAACCAGUGACAUCAUAAAUAAUAAUUUAUAUAUUAUAUAAAAUGUUAAAUGAUUAUAAUAAAUUAAAAUUAUAUAUAAUUAAAUAUUUUAUUUUUAUAUUUGAUAUAUCAAAUUAAAUGACGAAAAGAAAUAUAAGUAUAUUAAUAUUUGAAAUUUUAUUAAAUAGAACAUUUAUAACAUUUAAAUAUAAAGAUAUAUUUAAAAUGAAAAAAAAAAAUUUAUUUACAUGUAUUUUGUAUUUUAUUAGUUUGAAAUUAUUAUAUUAAUUAAUUUAUAUUAUUUUUUAAUCACAUUAUAUAAUUUUUAUAAAAAUAAAUGUGAAAGUGUUUUAUAUUUUGUACAAUAAAAUUUUGAAAAAAAUAAUAAUUUUGUUUUAUAUUUUUAUUUGCAAAUAUAAUACAAUGAAGAAGCUUCAUAGCUUAAUGGUUAAGCCUCAAUUUUUACACCUGAAGGUCCCAACUCAACUCUCCAACUUGCAAAAUUUUUUCUUUUUACUAACUAAUCCCACAUAAAAAAUGGAUAAAAAAAUAUGUAGGGAUUGUGGGGUAUAAAAGACAUGCAAAAAUUAUUAACUUGUAAGACUAAAAGCUUAUUGGGUUCGAUGACAAAUGGGUCGGAUGGGCUCCUCAUAGAGUGAUUUGGUUCCUUUAGAAAACAUUGUUGUUUUGGUGCAAAAUGCAUCAAAAUGUUUUUUUGGUUUUAAAAAAAAAAACAAAGAAAAAAGGUUGAACCAUUUGGUUUGAAAGGAACCGGUAGUUUCGUCGAUCCAAUCAUCGGUUCAAUCCUUGGACAACUCAAUUUGCCGGAUCAAACCAGUCGAUUCGGUUUGGUCUUUAAAACCAGUCGAUUCGGUUUGGUUUUUAAAACCAUGCGAUUUUUAACUUAAAACUGAUUUUUUUUUUUCAUUCACCAAAAAUCAACUUUCAUUUGAAUUAUAGAAUAUUUAAAAGUUAUUUUAAUUUCCUUUAAAAAAAAAAUACUUGCAAUUUAUUCAAAAAAGUUACCACGGUUUUAUUAAAAAAAAGAAAAAAGAAGCAUAUUUCAAAUUUAUCAUACAAAGAAAAGUUCAAAUUUAUUAAAAACAUAAUAACAUAUUAUAAAAGAAAGAAAGAAGAUUUCAAUGAGUUAAAAAAGAGAAAUUCCAUUUUAUUAGAAGAGAUUCUUUUUUUCUUUUCUGUUUUAUUCUAAAAACGUCUUUUUUCUUACUUUUAUUAAAAAUGAGUUUUUCAAUUUUAAUAUAUAUAUAUAUCUUAUCAAACAAAGAUUUUAGAAUAGUAAACAAAAAUUUAUUUAAAAGGAUUAAAUUUUUAUUCCAAAAAGAAUUUUGGUUCAAAGAAAAAUAAAAUAUAAUAAAAUAUUUUUCGAACAAAAAAAAAACAUUAUCUUACUAUAAGAUUAUUCUACCAACAGAGAGAUAAAAUACAAAUAAAUUACACCUUUCAUAUAUUUUUCAUUAACAAAAAAAUAAAAAUAAACAAAGGCUAACUAAGCAUAUUGUAGACCCCCCGGAGGCAGAGUUUUUUUUCUUGGGAUUUAUUUUAGGUCUUUUCUUUUUCCUACCUUUUUCUGAGGAGCCGCUCGACAUGAUGGUCAGGAGCUGGUUUUUGGGGUAGAGAGGGGACUCAAGUGGGCGGCUCUCGGGGGGCAGAUUGGACGGGAUACGGCUGGCUUGCUGAGGAAGACACGAACAGAAGAAAAACAGAUGAAAAAAAGUAGAAAAAUAGAGAUCAAGAGGUACGGGGAUGCAGCAGACUGGGGGAGAGGCUUUUCUUCAGCCAGACAUCGAGAUCAGUGGGGGGGCCGGAGGAGGAGACGAGAGGAGCUUUCUUUGGGUAGGGGGAUGGAGAGAUAUUUUCUGGGAUAUUCACCGAGGGGCUCUGGAUCUUGCUGGUAGAGUAGACAGAGGUUGGCGGUAAUCUAAGUGAGCUUCAUUGAAGAGGAGAUUCGCAGGUAUGGAGUAUCGUUUUUUUUUAAGGUCUUCCUCAUUGUCACUGUUCUUCAUCAUAUUCUCUGGCUACUUAGGCAUUGUUAGUUUUCUUGGUUGUGGAUUGAGAUUUGCUGAAUUUGGGUUCGUUUUUGUAAUUGCUCUGUUUUGGUUCUUUUUUGCAUUCUUUGUUUUCUCCUGUCAAUAACUGAUGUAUGGGUUGUUUUUGAGAUUGAUGUUUGAUUAAUCAUGCCCCGACUCCUAGCUUGUCUCACCUUUUUAGACCCAUUGAGUGUAUCAUGAGAUGGAGUCUUGAUCAAUGAACUCUGGGCGUGCCCUGUUUCUUGAGUCUUUCUUUUCUUUUCUUUUUGCCUUUGAAAAAUACCGACCAUUAUUUUGUAAACUACCCGAAAGCUCUUGGGAUGAGGGUAGAAAAUGUUUCUAACUUCAAGUGGUUUCUGGAUUCGACGGACCGGGGAAGUCGAAGGUUCAAGUUAUUGGUCUGGUUUUAGCUGCUGUCGAAAUGGGUGGAGGAACUGGCAGUAGUGAGGCUCCCAUGAUUGCUGGGAGAGGGAGGUUGGGUGCUGAUCAGCCUAUGAUUCUGCACAUGCUGGAUAUCCCUCCUGCUGCAGACGUCUUAAAUGGGGUCAGAAUGGUGGAAUUGAUGGAUGCUGAUUUUCUACUUUCUUAAGGGUGUUGUUGCUAUAGCCGAUGUUGUUGAGGCAUGCACUGUGGACAAUGUUGCUGUCUUGGUUGUUGGCUGGUUGUUGCUAACCCGGCAAACACAAAUUGCCUUAAUCCUGAAGGAAUUUGCACCAUCAAUUCCUGAGAAAAGCAUUAGUUUGAAAGUCUGAACAUUGAGGUGCCCAAGCAUGGAGGAGGAUGUGGAGGGAAUUUAUUAAAAAGAGUCAAUGGCCACGUGCAAGCCAAGGGAAUGUCCUUAGGGUAGCAAUAAAAAAAAACAACCCAGGCCACUUGAUGGUCCAAGUGUUAGCUUAUGAGACAUGAGUUUUAUUUAUUUCUUUAUUAUUGUAUGUGUUUCUAGUUUACCGUGUACCCAUUUAAAUAAUUCCCCCAAGUUCCGGAUUUCAAAUUCUAAUCCCCAAUUCUAAUUUUUCACACUUGUUUAUUUAGUCAUUAUUAUUAUUAUUAUUAUUAUUAUUAUUAUUAUUCUAUAUUUAUUUAAUUAUUUCAUUUAAAAAUUCUAAUCAUUAAAAUUCAGUUAUUCAAAAAUUUGACUUCCCAAUUUAAUGUUCAAUCUCAAAAAUUCCAUAAUUCAUUUUUACUCGUUUAAAUAUUGUUUUAGUUAAUUAGUAUUAUUAACCCAUAUUUAUUUAUUAUUUUGAGCAUUAAAGUCCAAUUCUUCAAAAUCUAACGUCCUAAUUUAACUUUUAAUCCCAAAAAUUUCACUAUUCAUUUUUACUCGUUUAAAUACUAUUUUCGUUAAUUAGUAUUAUUACUCCAUAUUUAUUUAUUAUUUUUAUCAUUAAAAUCCAAUUCUUCAAAAAUCCAGUGUCCUAAUUUAAAUUUCACUAUUCAUUUUGUUCGUUUAAAUAUUAUUUCCGUUAAUUAGCAUUAUUAUUCCAUUAAUUUAUUUUACAAAUUCCAAUAAUUAAAGUUCAAUUUUUCAAAAUUCCGUUUUCCGAAUUUAAUUUUCAAUAAAAAAUUCCGCUAUUCACGUUCAUUCGCUUAACCAUUAUUUUUGUUAUUAUUAUUAUUAUUAUUCCAUAUUUAUUUAUUUAUUUCUUUUAAAGUUCAAAUCAUUAAAAUUCAAUUCUUGAAAAAUCUGACUUCCGAAUUUAAGUUUCAAUCUCAAAGAUUCCACUAUUCACGUUCAUUCGUUUAAAUAUUAUUCUCAUUAUUAUUAUUAUCAUUUCAUUAAUUUAUUUUACAAAUUCCAAUAAUUAAAGUUCUAUUUUUCAAAAUUCCGUUUUCCAAUUUUAAUUUUCAAUCUCAAAAAUUUCACUAUUCACAUUCAGCUGUUUAAUGAUUAUUUUCGUUAUUAUUAUUAUCCCGCUCAUUUAUUUAUUCACUUAUUCAUACAUUUAAAACCUCAUCUCCAAAUAAUUUCCCAAAAUUUAAAUCUCUAAAUUCAAUCUCCAAUCUCUAAAAUUCUAUUUUUUUGCAAUUAUUUACUUAAUAUUUAUUAUUUAAUCAUUAUUAUUAUUCCAUUUAUUUAUUUAUUCACUUAUUUAUUUAUUAAAAUUCCGUCUUUAAAUAAUUCUUCAAAAUUCUAAUUCCCAAAUUUAGUUUUCUGAAAUUCCAAAAUCUUUCAAAUUUAAUUUUUAAAAUUCUCAUUCUUAUACUUAAUUUCUAAAAAUCCAAUUUUCAAAUAAUCUCUAAGACUCCGAUUUUCAAAAAGCUAGUUUUCCUUCGAACAAUCUUAAUUUAUGUUUGGUAAUGCAUGUGAUAUAUUUCGUGUUCUAUAUUGUGCACUGACUCUGUUUCCACGAUAGCGCGUUGCUGUUUGCUGCCCAGGUAAGCAUUCACUCAUUUUGAUCAUUCAUAAUACACAUUCUGAUUCCCAUAUACGCAUGAUUGAUGUGAGUAUCCAUAGACUUUCUUAUUGACUGCCACGUCAGCUUCAUUCUAUUAGUAGAGACCCGACUUUAGGGACUUAGAGGGGUGCUACGGUCUUUACCGUACCUUCCCGAUAAGUAACCUGACCCCCGAACCCGAUCUGGUUUUUCAUAGACCACCUUUUCCAAAAUAAGGAGUCACACUUAGGGUUUUUCUUUCUUAUUUUGUUUACCCUUUAAAAAUAAAACAAAAAUAAGUGGCGACUCCAAGUCAUUUUUCUUAAUCAAUAAAAAUCAAUUUUUCAAAUAAAAAAUCGAGUUUCGCCAUCGAGUGGGAAACGCAUUCGAGCGAUCGAAAUGCGGGGUCCACAAAAUGGCGACUCCGCUGGGGACAUUUUUUUAGAGGGACAAGCUUGAACUUAGAGUGAAGCAAACGUGGCAUUUGAUUGGGCGAUUAGUGGAUGCUCAUCUCUUGAUUGUACAUUGAGGAUUUCUUGAUGCAUGCUUAGAUGUCGUAUUCAUUCGAGAUUUUGGCAUGUUGGAUUAUUGAUGAUUGAUCUUAUUGCAUUGAUUAGCACAUUGAUUCUGAUUUUGCCAUGCUUGUUCUGAUCACUUCACAUGCAUACACUCACCACUGUAUAUCACUCGACUUGACAUGUUAAUUCUCUGACUUGUAAUACUGUUUUGACCGUCCUUGAGCAUGAUGUUUAUAUCACUAUUCGUCUUGAUUGUCGUAUUCUCGCUUAUCUUGUGUGUACAUGAGUGAUAUAUCCUGCUCUGCCUGACUGUAUGAUGCAUGACUGCCCUCCCUCUGCACGAUUGCAUGCCGCUUGUCUAUGUGGGUCUCACUUCUAUCCCCUUACUUCCAAAUCUCUUGGUCUCGGUCAUUCUUUUCAUCUCGGUUCUCACUAUUGCAAGUGUGAAACCUUCUAUAUACUUGCUCUCUGACCGAGCCCGAGAUUAGGAGUAGGGUCUAGCGACGGGCUAUAUCGAUACACGGGAGCAUUCUGGAGGAGAGCGACACUUUGAUGUCGAUUGGAGUCCGAUCAUUGAAGACCUGUAUAGCCCCGAGCUAGGUUUCAUGGAUAGUUGUGCGACCAGUGUGUUCCCUCUUCUGCUCUAGAUUCUUAGGGUUUUCGGAUGCACCCACACCUUUAACUGUGCACUUUAGUUGACCAUUGAGCGUCAAGAGUUUGAGAGGUUUCACCAUAGGAAACCCCCUGGGAUGUCGAGGUAGUGCAUGUGUGGAGGUGAUGACCACCUUGCAUGGAAGCACCCCGUCUCUUUUUGAGGCGUGAAGAUGGUUGCGUACCGCCGGAGGGUACGAUCGCUUCUGCUAGGGAUCUUUUAAAUUCCACCCAUAUCCAUUUAGAGCCACCUUCACCUUGUAGGUUGAGUCGUAGAUCCUUCAAUUAGGACUCCCUCCCUACACGUGGGUGCAUCCGUGGGCCUUCAGAGCCAGUUCAGUAGUAACAGGUUUGGUUACCUUCGCAGUAGUCUCUUAUAUAUCUGCUCAGGGUUGGAUAUCGGUUUGUUCGCUUCCAGGCUACCUUUUGACACAUUUGGUAGACAUUCUUUGUGAAGUUUCCCUUACCCCGCACCUUAUCUAGUAUUUUUACUAUUGUAGGAGUACCGACACGUUCAGUCUGGGUUUGACUUCUUGGAUCAGAGUUGGGGGUAGAUUGAUCAGGGUAUCGGACCAGUUAGGCCAGAGAUCAGAUCAGAGGGAUAUGGAUUCACAGAUAGUUACCGUCGAUCAGUUCGCUGAGGCCAUGGCUUCGAUUCAGGAGGCUAUAGCUAGCCUUGGCCGGAGGAUAGAUGGGCAGCAGGCCCAGCAGGUCCCGCCCCCGGUUGGUGCCCAGUAUGACCCUACAGUGCCACCACCUCCUCCACCCAGUCAGUCAGCGCCACAGGCCAUGCCGUUCACUCUGCAUAGUCAGACCGGGGUUGCCCCGCCUCCCAUCACCGUGCCCACCCCGACCUCAGAGGACCCACAUGCUCGCAUGGAUAGACUUGAGCAGGGUUUGAGACAGUUGAGGGCUUCAGACAGAGCCACUACUUGGGAGGGUUUUGAUGGAGUGCCGGUAGCUAGCUUGCCGGCUAAGUUCAGGAUGCCUGACAUUGAGAGGUAUACUGGCAUUGGUUGUCCACGCCUCCAUCUUCGAUUAUACAGCACCGUGAUGAGGGCUCAUGGACUGGACGAGCCUCAGAUGAUUACUCUUUUCCCACUAUCUUUGAGUCGAGCGGCCCAGCGUUGGUUUGCAUCUCUGGAGGCCUCGAGGCGCCGCACAUGGGACGACUUGGCCCAGGAGUUCCUACGACAGUUUUCGUUUAACACUGUCGUAGAUGUAUCGAGGAGGGAGCUCGAGGCUUUGAGAUAGAGGACGGAGGAGUCUGUUUCUUCUUUCAUUUCUCGCUGGCGUGGGAAGAUAGCUGAGAUUAUCGAUAGACCAUCAGAGAAGGACCAGAUUCAGAUGGUUUUGAGGAGCCUGCAGCCGCGGAUCGCCAGACAUGUGGUAGGGGCCCCGUUCACAGAUUUUGGGUCUCUAGUUAUGGCUCUGUAUGAUGUCGAGGACGGUAUCUCGAGAGGUUUAUGGACAGAUUCUUCCCCUAGUGAUGUUAAGGGGAAGAAACCAUUCGUAGGACAGAGGUCGACAGAUGUUAGUGCUAUCAGUUCAUCCAGUCAGAGGCCUCCUAGACGCUACCAGCCGAUCCCACAGUUUCCCGAGCCUCAUUCGUCCUAUGCCUCUCAUCAGUACAGGCCACGGGCACCUCGACCAGCUUAUGAUCAGGCAUAUACUCCGCAGACUUUGGCUUUGCCUUAUUAUGCCCCCCAAGGCAUUGAGAGACCCCCGGUUUCCUACACGGCCACAGGACAGCCAUGCUAUGCUGCUCAGUUCACUGCGAGACCCGCAGCGCCUUAUCCCCGACCCAGAGCUCAGCAGACUUCUGCUCCCUUUGCUUUGAGGACGCAGAGGCAGUUCUCAUAGAUAGGCAUGCCGUUGAGCCAGGCUCUUCGGAAGCUUACAGAGGCUGGGUUAUUGACUACUCUCACCCCUCGGCCGCCGCCUCAGCCGAUUCCACCUCAGUUCAGGAUGGAUCUACACUGUGCAUACCAUCAGGGGCCUGGGCAUGAGACCGAUCGAUGCACCGCUUUGAGACAUGCCGUUCAGGAUUUGAUCGACCAGGGUUUGGUACACUUAGGUCAGCCGAGUGUGACCACGAACCCGUUGCCUGCUCACACCACACAUGCAGUCCCUCCACCAGCCGAUGACAUUCAUUUCUUAGAGUUUGAUGAGAUCGAUGAUCACAUCCACAUGCUGAGUGAUGAUGAUUCAGACCCAGAGCCCAUCAUGCUAGAUGUGAUUUAUGAGACGAGUGGGGUGACUCUGGGUCCUCGGACGCCUGCUCCCUUCCGAUUAGUUCCCGAGGCGGCGUCCGUGCAGGCUGCCACAGUUGAGCCAUUGAUUUUGCCGCAUUACAGUGUCCAGACGCCUUUCAUCUUGAUCCCGGAUGUUGAGGGGGUUCAGGCUCCGUACGUUGAUGAUUCUCAGACUCUGGACAUUCAGUACGUUCUCCGAGGAGGUAGAGUGAUGAGACAGCCACCUCCAGCUGCUGCCGCUAGACCCUUAGGGGGUACGUCAUCCCAAGAGGAGGUCAGAGUAGAGGAUGACGAGAUUUUGAGGCAGUUGCAGAGCACUCAGGCUCGUAUUUCUAUCUGGAGCCUUUUAGCGUCCUCCAGUACUCAUCGGGAUGCACUGACUCGAGCUCUGAGCCAGAUCAGAGUUGAUACCACGACCACUCCUGAGGGACUCAUUCAUAUGAUGACGGCUGGCAGAGCCACUUGUAUCGUCUUUUCCGAUGACGACUUGCCACCAAAGAGAUCUGGCCACACGCGUCCUCUCUAUAUAUCUGUUGGCUGUUCAGGUCGCCGAGUUCCAUCUGUCCUUCUGGACAAUGGCUCGGCCCUGAACGUAUGUCCUCUGGCCACCGCCAUCGCUCUUGGGUACGCACCAUCCGACUUCGGUCCAUCCACUCAGACCGUUCGAGCUUAUGACAGUACCCGUAGAGAGGUCAUGGGUACAUUGGAGAUUGAGCUCCUGAUAGGUCCGACCACAUUUAUCACUAUCUUUCAGGUUUUGAGGAUUCCUACAUCCUUUAACCUGCUUUUGGGCCGACCGUGGAUUCAUCGAGCUGGAGCCAUUCCUUCUUCACUUCAUCAGAAAGUGAAGUUCAUCCAUGAGGGCCAGGUAGUCGUCGUACAGUCGGCAGGGGACAUGUUCAUUUCCGCUGAGCCCGUGCUCCAGAUCAGCCACAGUGACGAUGAUUUACUACUGACCGGGUUCACUUUUGAUGAGGUACAGACUCUUGAGCUGGGAGACUUUUGCCGAGACUUCAUCGCUAUGUCCUUUGACCAGCAUGGGAGCAUAGUGGUGCUUGAUAUCAUGAGAGGCAUGUCCUAUCUACCCGGCAUGGGGUUGGGUCGACGUCAGCAUGGACCGAGCGAGUUCAUCACCAUCCCUGAUCAUGACGUACCAUUUGGGCUUGGGUUCAUCCCCACCGAGGCUGACUAUCGAUACAUGGCGCGUUUGCGCAAGGAGAGAGCGAGGGCUCGGCUGACCCACACGCCUUUCGACUAUCCUCUUCGCCCAUACACCAGGAGCUUAUCUGAUUACUUUGUGAGGGCAUCGGAGUCACAUGCACCAUCUGAUGGGAUCAUCGGAGGACUCAGCACCACCCAGGAGGCCGAGCUUCAGCGCCUCGUCCAGCAGUUACAGUUGAGUGACGGAGCCCCUGGCCCUUCGGCUUCUGUGUUGAUUGCUCCUCUUUCCCCAGAUCGCACGAGCCUUAUGACGCUUUGCUUCCCGGAUGAGAUCGAUGAUCACGGGACUUUUGCCGAGAUUGGAGACGUAGCGGAUGGAGCCGUGCCGCGUGACGAGUACGUUGAUGAGAUGCUCGCGAUGAGUUUGAGCCAGACCGAGGAGAUGGCCCCGCCGGAGCUCGCUUCACCUUUUGAUCUCUUUGGGGUGUCCGUCCUCGAGAUCGCCGAGGAGAUCCAGGUUGCCCCCACUCCAGAGGCCGUCGAGGAUGUUAUAGUUGCUGUUGAUUUGUUUGAUGGCCCUGUUGGCCUAGUUGAGGGAGCGUCCGACCUUGUGGACCCACCUCUCACCUUUGAUGUUUUAUCGGGAUUUGUCUCCCGUCAUGACUAUGUUUCUGACUUUUCAUCUAUGGAUUUGAGCACCUUUGAGUAUUUGCCUGUCUCUCAUGUUAUUGAUUUAUCUGCACCAUCUUCACCCACAUCACAGAUUUUUGAUAUUGAUGAUGAGAUUGCGCAGCACGACUCAGACGAUGACUCGUCUUCUACUUCCGAUUCAGACCCCGUUGAUCAGAGAGUUUCACCUGCUGUAGGGGACACCGAGAUUGUUGACUUUGGCACGGCAGAUCAGCCUAGGGAGUUGAGGAUCGGAUCGGAUUUGUCUACAGAUGAGAGAGAUAGCCUCAUCCAGCUACUCAGAUCCUACUUGGACGUUUUCGCGUGGUCCUAUGAGGACAUGCCAGGCCUUGAUCCCUCUAUCGUCCAGCAUCGUUUGCCACUUCUGCCCCAGGCCAGACCGGUUAAGCAGAAGUUGAGACGAUUGCACCCUCGUUGGAGCUUACAGGUGAAAGAGGAGAUCCAGAAGCAGCUCAGUGUAGGAUUCUUAUCAGUGGUUGAGUACCCGGAGUGGCUGGCCAAUGUCGUCCCUGUUCCCAAGAAGGACGGCAAGGUGAGAGUCUGUGUUGAUUUCCGAGAUCUCAACAAGGCCAGUCCUAAGGAUGAUUUUCCUCUUCCACACAUCGACAUGCUAGUUGACAGUACGGCAGGUCAUUCGAUGUUGUCCUUUAUGGACGGAUUUUCCGGGUACAGUCAGAUCUUGAUGGCUCCAGAGGACAUGGAGAACACGUCCUUCAUUACCGAGUGGGGCACUUAUUGCUAUAGAGUCAUGCCAUUCGGAUUGAAGAACGCAGGAGCCACAUAUCAGAGAGUAGCGACCACACUCUUCCAUGACAUGAUGCAUCGGGAUGUCGAGGUUUACGUAGACGACAUGAUAGUGAAAUCCCGAGAUAGAUCAGAUCAUUUGGCAGCUCUUGAGAGGUUCUUUGAGAGGAUCAGACAGUUCAGAUUGAGACUGAAUCCCAAGAAGUGCACUUUCGGAGUGACUUCCGGGAAACUCUUGGGAUACAUGGUCAGUGAGCGAGGCAUAGAGGUAGAUCCGGACAAGAUUAGAGUCAUUCUUGACAUGCCUGCGCCGAGGACAGAGAGAGAGGUCAGAGGCUUCCUGGGCAGACUUCAGUAUAUCAGUAGAUUCAUAGCCAGAUUGACAGACAUCUGCGAGCCCAUAUUUCGACUCUUGAAGAAGAGUCAACCUACUGUUUGGGAUGACCAGUGCCAGCGUGCCUUCGAGAGGAUCAGAGAGUACUUGUUAUCACCUCUUGUUUUGGCGCCUCCUACACCAGGCCGUCCUCUACUCUUAUACUUGUCCGUAUCAGACGUGGCCUUGGGUUGCAUGUUAGCUCAGCUCGAUGAUUCGGGCAAGGAUCGAGCCAUUUACUAUUUGAGUAAGAGGAUGUUAGACUACGAGACGAGGUAUGUCAUGAUUGAGCGUUAUCGUUUGGCAUUGGUUUGGGCCACUCGCCGGUUGAGACAUUACAUGACCGAGUAUUCCGUGCAUUUGAUAUCUCGCUUGGAUCCUUUGAGAUAUUUGUUUGACAGACCCGCUCUGGUUGGUCGCCUUAUGAGAUGACUGGUACUUCUUACUGAGUUUGACAUCCAUUAUGUCACUCAGAAGUCCAUCAGAGGGAGCAUUGUAGCAGAUCAUCUAGCCUCAUUACCAGUUUCUGAUGCCAGAGCUAUUGACGAUGAUUUUCCAGACGAGGAUGUCGCUGCUGUGACUAGUCUGUCAGGUUGGCGCAUGUACUUUGAUGGCGCGGCCAACCAUUCCGGAUAUGGGAUAGGCGUCUUGUUGAUAUCCCCUCACGGUGAUCACAUUCCCAGAUCAGUUCGUUUGGCAUUCUCGGAUCGACACCCUGCCACGAACAACAUUGUUGAGUAUGAGGCUUGUAUCUUGGGAUUAGAGACGGCCCUUGAGCUCCGGAUUAGACAGAUGGAGGUGUUUGGUGACUCCAAUCUGGUAUUGAGACAGAUUCAGGGCGAGUGGAAGACUAGAGAUGUGAAGCUUAAGCCUUAUCAUGCAUAUUUGGAGCUACUGGUUGGGAGAUUUGAUGAUUUGAGAUAUACCCAUCUGCCUAGAGCGCAGAACCAGUUUGCUGAUGCUUUAGCUACUCUAGCUUCCAUGAUCGAUAUUCCCGUUGACGCCACUGUUCGACCUUUGUUGAUCGAGUCGAGAUCUGCUCCUGCUUACUGUUGCCUGAUCGAUGAUGUAGAGCCAGAUGAUGGUUUGCCAUGGUAUCACGACAUAUAUCACUUUUUGAGACUCGGCAUAUAUCCUGAGGCCGCCACGGCCAAGGAUAAGAGAGCAUUGAGACAGUUGGCCACUCGUUUCGUGAUUUGUGGCGAGACACUAUAUAGGCGAUCACCUGACGGGAUGCUAUUAUUGUGUUUGGACCGCGCCUCUGCCGAUCGGGUGAUGAGAGAGGUUCAUGCGGGAGUCUGCGGACCACAUAUGGGAGGACAUAUGUUGGCUCGUAAGAUCAUGAGGACAGGAUACUUCUGGUUGACCAUGGAGACAGAUUGCUGCCAGUUUGUUCAGAGGUGUCCCGAGUGUCAGAUACACGGAGAUCUCAUUCACGUGCCGCCCUCCGAGCUGCACGCACUGACUUCACCAUGGCCAUUUUCCGUCUGGGGUAUUGAUAUCAUCGGGAAGAUUUCACCAAAAUCUUCCAGUGGUCAUGAGUUCAUCCUGGUCGCCAUCGAUUACUUCACCAAGUGGGUGGAGGCCGCUUCGUAUGCGAGGUUGACAUCGUCUGGAGUUGCUAGUUUCAUCAGAUCACACAUUAUCUGUCGCUAUGGAGUCCCUCAUGAGUUGAUUUCAGACAGAGGAGUACAUUUCAGAGCAGAGGUUGACACCUUAGUACAGAGAUACAGCAUCCGGCAUCAUAGAUCGUCUGCGUACAGGCCGCAGACGAAUGGGGCAGUAGAGGCCGCAAAUAAGAAUAUCAAGAGGAUAUUACGGAGGAUGGUCGAGACUUCUCGGGAUUGGUCAGAGAAGCUCCCAUUUGCAUUGUGGGCUUAUCGGACUUCUUUUCGCACCUCUACAGGCGCCACACCCUACUCCUUGGUAUAUGGCAUGGAGGCGAUGCUACCCGUUGAGAUUGAGAUGGGUUCGUUGAGAGUAGCAUUGGAGCAGCAGAUUCCCGAGGCAGAUUGGGCUCAGGCUCGAUUUGAUCAGCUCAAUCUCCUAGAUGAGAGGAGAUUGAGAGCAGCAGACCAUGUUCGUGCGUAUCAGAGGAAGAUGGCCCGCGCUUUCAAAAAGCGGGUCAAGCCCAGACCAUUACAGAUAGGUGACUUAGUUCUGAAAGUCAUCAGGGGAUUGAUCAAAGAUCCUAGAGGGAAGUUCAGACCCAACUGGAGCGGACCUUAUUUCAUCAGGGAGUUGACCCCAGAGGGCGCUGCAUGGUUGAUGGAUUUAGAUGGAAACCGAUUCUCAGAGCCAACCAAUGUGGAUCAGCUAAAGAGGUACUAUGUUUGAGACCAUGGUCGCAGGAUGGGUGGCCAUCAUUUCGGUUAGCCAUUUACCUUGUUACUCCCUUUUGAUACAUAGUUCGUUGCUAGCCCAUUGAGCCUCGCAUGCGCAUUAUAGCCUUUCUUUCUUAUCGCCUUGCUCACAUUUUCACACCGGGAUAGGGGCCCUUUAAUGUAUGCAUGCAUUGUUUGGUAGUUUCAUGAGCUUUGGACCUAGAGGCAUGUUUUUUCUCAUUGUCUUUUCCUAUCACUACACCUUUGCAUUUUCAUCUCAUCUUAUUGGUUAUGUUAUUCAUCUCUUCUUCCUUAUCCUAUCUACUAUCUGUUUGUUUCAUAUUUCGCUUCACCCUGGGGGGUGAUCCUCCUCAGUUCAUCACAUGGAGGGUAGUCACAUCAUUUCCGCCAUCUAUCUCGCGGACACUGAUUUAGAGAUCCUUGGUUUGAGAAGGUCAUCUUGUCAGAGAGAGUUUGUUUGUUACCUUAGCACUUGGGGGUGUGUCCAUUUGUUAUCGAUAUCAUCUUUGGGGUUCAUUUGUUCAUGUUCAGGGUACGCGUAUUUGUAUAUAUGUAAAAAAAAAAAAAAAAAAAAAAAGAAAAAAAAAGAAAAAGAAAAUUAUUAUUAUUAUUAUUAGCACAUGUGUGUAUGUGCAUAGUGUUCUCGAUCAUUGGGUAUGUAUAUUGAUGUUUGGGGGUCAUUUUUAUCGAGUAUGUUCGUUAUUGGGAGUUCGUAUGUGAGCUCUCUGAGAUCCCAUGUUAUUUGUAUUACUUCGUCAUAUCUAUUUGUGAGAGAGAUGAGUGACCUUCUCCUAAGGACUCCGAGUCAUUGUCCUUCCCAUCAUUACAUUCAUUAUUGAUGUGACUUCACUUCAUGUUUGAUCUGAGUCGAUCACUACCUUUCUUCACAUAUCCAUUGUUUCGCUGUCGUUUUUAUCGUUGCUUGUGAUUCAUCUCAUUCCCUUCACAUCUUAUUUUCCCCUUACAGUGACCCAUCUCGGGUUCGAUACUUCGCAUCAUCAUUACACAUAUCACUACCAGUUCAUUUUGCUUCAUUUGUCUCCUUGUCGAUAUCAUAUUCACGUUAGGCAUUCUCAGGUCCAUGGCUCAUGGGGUUCACUAUACAUGUUGCAUUUCAUAUAUGAGGGCAUGAGUUUUGAUCAUUGGGUAUUUGAGCCUAGUUUCCUUUCAUUUCUAUCACCCUAUCACCUUGGCCUACGUUACGUCCCGCGUCUUAAGACCACCCUGAGGCCAUGGGAUCAGAUGUCGUAUUCGGCAGCCUCUACUUGGACAGUGAUUGAGAUCUGGUUGAUAUUUAGAUAUUGUCAUGCUUCUUCUUCUGGGAGUCGCCUCUUUGAUGUGUAGGUUUGAUUCAGUUGUGUUCGGAUUACCAGGAUCGUGAGUUUGAUGAUGAUUGAUUUGGUGUCACCUGAUUUUUGACCUAUCAUACCUCUGGUACCACACUGGGGCAUAUCCCAUUUCAUUUAGAGGUUCAUGGAUCCUCACGGACUUGCGCGAUCAUCACUUACUGGAUGCUCAUCGAGACGUGGACAUGAUUGUUUACCUUACGGAGCCUCUGAGAUCCACCCAGCCGGGUCCGCACUUCUCGACACUUGGAUUCCAUCAUACCUCUCCACCUGGGAGGUACAUUUUGGAUAUGUGUGCAUGAUUCAGUUAUGGAUUCGGACGACCAUUGUUACAUGUUCGAUGACAGAUGAUUUCGUGUCGCUCGAUUUCUGACCUGUCGUGCAUCCGAUGCCCAUACUGGGGCAUAUUUUCCGUUUCGGAUGAGAUUUACGGACUUUCAUGGAGGUCACAUGUGCGAUGAUGGAUGAUUUCAUGACAUUUGUUCUUCGGACCUGUCGCGCACCUGAUGCCAUACGGGGGCAUAUUCCGUUUCAGAGGAUCUUUAUGGAUCUUUGCAGAGGUCACAUGUUCGAGGAUAGAUGAUUCCAUGCUAUCUGAUCUCCGACUUAUCAUACAUUUCGAUGUCAUAUAGGAGCAUAUUUCGGUUCGGAUGAGAUUUACAGAUCAUGAGGGAGUCGCGUGCUUAGCCUUAUUUGGCAAGACGUAUGCAGAGAUGAUGAUAUAUUUGCUAUCCUCACGAUGAUUCCUUAGUGGAGCCUAUCGAGAGCCGUCUAGCCAGGCAUGGAUGACCUGAGCUCAUCGGAUUUUUCGACGUAUUGCAUUCUCGAUGCCACAUUAGGGCACAUUCCCCAUUUUGAUCGAGAUUUAUAGAUCCCCACUGGUUUACAUGAUCAUCCACGGUUAUGAGAUACAUGCCAGGUCGAUGUUUGAUAUCAUUUUGUCUGGCUACUCCGAGGAGCCUCUUUUGAGUCAUUCAGCCAGAUUCAUACCCUUUGAUAUAGUCGUAUGGAGUUGUCUCUGGUGCCUGGAUUUCCCGCGUCAUCAUUUCAGAGGGAUACGAUCUGUUACGCGUCCCAUUGGUGUUAUUCUCGGGUCAUCAGGGCAGAUCGGGUACAUCGGGUGUCAUACUGGGACAUAUUUCUGUUUUGGAUGAGAUUUACGGAUCUUCACGGAGGUCACGUGCUCGACGAUAGAUGAUUUCUUGUCGCUUUUCUUCUGACCCGUCCCACAUUUGAUGCCAUACUAGGGCAUAUUUUCCGUUUCGGAUGAGAUUUAUGGAUCUUCACUUAUGUCACAUGAUCGAGGAUAGACGAUUUCAUGCCACCCGAUCUUCGACCUAUCAUACAUUUGAUGUCAUACUGGGGCAUAUUUCCGUUUCGAUUGAGAUUUACGGAUCUUCAUGGAGUUGCAUGCUCAUCCCCACUUACGAGAUACACGUUGACACGAUGUUUCCUCCGUGGAGCCUCUCAGGAGUUACCCAGUUAGGGCUGCGCUUCGCGACGCCUCGAUGUCAUCAUGUUUUCCUUCCGGGGGACGCCCUUUUGAUCUAUGGGUCUGAUUCAGUUGUGCACGUGGAUGAUUUGGAUCGCGCAUUCGAUGACGGGUGAUCUGAGCUCAUCUGGUUCUUCUGACCUAUCACACAUCCGAUGUCAUACUGGGGCAUACCCCCAUCCUUGAGUCCACCAGGUAUUUUGCGAUUUUCUCAUCACUUGAUCCACAUCUGGAUCUUUGCGGGUCGUCAUGCUGGGGCAUCCCCCCGCUGUCAUUUCGUUUGGGGCAUCUCCCCCACUGUCAUUUACGUUUGGGGCAUCCCCCGCUGUCAUUUUCGUUUGGGGCAUCCCCCACUGUCAUUUUCGUUUGGGGCAUCCCCCCACUGUCAUUUACGUUUGGGGCAUCCUCCCAUUGUCAUUUCGUUAGGGGCAUCCCCCCGCUGUCUUUACGUUUGGGGCAUCUCCCCACUGUUAUUUAUGUUUGGGGCAUCCCCCCACUGUCAUUUACGUUUGGGGCAUCCCCCCAUUGUCAUUUCGUUUGGGCCAUCCCCCCACUGUCAUUUUGUUUAGGGCAUUUCCCCACUGUUAUUUACGUUUAAGGCAUCCCCCUAUCUUCAGUUUGUUUAGGGCAUUCCCCUACCGUCAGUUCGCUUAGGGCAUCUCCCUUUGUUUCAGAUUUAUCACCACCGUAGGUCUUCACCUAUGGGCCUUAUAGUUUAGUGUUUAGAGUUAGCUUUUUGGUUUGACUUUCAUAGCUAUCAUUUUUCUCAGUUUAGCAUUUAGAGUUAGCUUUUUGGUUUGGCUUCUAGAGCCAUUAUUCUUCUAGUUUAGUGUUUAGAGUUAGCUUUUUGAUUUGGCUUCUAGAGCUAUUAUUUUCUCAGUAUCAGUGGUCAGAGCCAUCCUCGUCGCUUUUUUUAGCUUCGGCGUUUAGAGCCAUCACUUCUCAGUAUCGACAUUCAGAGCCCAUACUGGGGGAUAUUUUCUGUUUGGGAUGAGAUUUACGGACUUUCAUGGAGGUCACAUGUGCGACGAUGGAUGAUUUCAUGACAUUUGUUCUUCGGACUUGUCGCGCACCUGAUGCCAUACUGGGGCAUAUUCCGUUUUGGAGGAUCUUUAUGGAUCUUCACAGAGGUCACAUGUUCGAGAAUAGAUGAUUCCAUGCUAUUUGAUCUCCAACCUAUCAUACAUUUCGAUGUCAUAUAGGAGCAUAUUUCGGUUCGGAUGAGAUUUACAGAUCGUGAGGGAAUCGCGUGCUUAUCCUUAUUUGGCGAGAUGUAUGCAGAGAUGAUGAUAUAUUCGCUAUCCUCACGAUGAUUCCUUAGUGGAGCCUAUCGAGAGCCAUCUAGCCAGGCAUGGAUGACUUGAGCUCAUCUGAUUUUUCUUGGUGCCACACUGGGGCAUAUUCCCCAUCUUGAUCGACAUUUGUAGAUUCCCCACUGAUUUGCAUGACCACCCUCAGUUAUGAGAUACACGUCAGGUUGAUGAUUCGAUUCCAUUUUAUCCUGAUACUCCGAGGAGCCUCUUUUGAGUCUUUCAGCCAGAUCUUACUCUCUGAUACAGUCGCAGUUCUUGGACGGAGUUAUGUCGAGUGCUUGGAUCCCCACGUCACCAUCUCAGUGGGGGUACAUAUCAGAUCUUUUACGCAUCCCCAUGUUAUUCUCGGGUUAUCAGGACGGAUCGGGUACAUCUGAUGCCAUACUAGGGCAUAUUUCCCUCCUUUAGCCAUGGAGGCGAUCGUUCUCUCACAGACCCGUUAUAGCUUUUGUCACUCAGCCAAGAGAUAUUGUGUUCGCCUCAUUGACCAUUAUUCCUGAGCUCUUCAUCGAGAUAAGCUCUCAGUGGAGCGUUGAUCGAGACUCAUAGAGUCCCUUUCAGCCAUCUUUAGCGGUUUGAGAUUCGCAGCGGCAUGCCACACUGGGGCAUAUUUCCCUCUCAUUGUCUCCUUACGGUCUGGUGUUCAGGGUCGCCGUUCAUUCACGGUUUACGACAUUCAAAGUUAUCAUGUCACACUUUCAGUUCGGCGUUCAGAGCCACUUCUCUAGUUCUUGCCGUUCAGAGUCAUCAUCAUCUCUUUUUAGUUUCGACGUUCCGAGCCAUCAUCGCCUCUUUUCAGUUCGGCUUUUAGAGCCAUCAUUGGUUUUCAGAUCGACAUUCAGAGUCGCAUCCUCAGUUUCGGCGUUCAGAGCCAUCACCGUGUUUUCAGUUCGGCGUUCAGAGCCAUCAUCGGUUUUCAGAUCGACAUUCAGGGUCGCAUCCUCGGUUUCGACGUUCAGAGUCGUUAUCACUUCUCAGUUUGACGUUCAGGGUCAUCGUCAUUACUUUUUAGUUUCGGCGUUCAGAGCCAUCAUCGGUUUUCAGAUCGACAUUCAGAGUCGCAUCCUCAGUUUCGACGUUCCAAGCCAUCAUCACAUCUUCGUUGGCGUUCAGAGCCAUCAUCGCUUCUCAGUUUUGGCAUUCAUAGCCAUCACUGUUUUCGAUUUAGGCUUCCAGAGCCAUUACUGUCAUCUUGUUUAGGCUUUCAGAGCCAUUACUGUCAUCUUGUUUAGGCUUCCGGAGCCAUUAUCGUCAUCUUGUUUAGGCUUCCAGAGCCAUCACCGUCAUCUUGCUUAGGCUUCCAGAGCCAUUAUCGUCAUCUUGCUUAGGCUUCCAGAGUCAUCACUGUCAUCUUAUUUAGGCUUCCAGAGCCAUUUCUAUCAUUUUGUUUAGGUUUCCAGAGCCAUCACCAUCAUCUUGUUUAGGCUUCCAGAGCCACUACUGUCAUCUUGCUUAGGCCUUCAGAGCCAUUACCGUCGUCUUAUUUCGGCUUCCAGAGCCAUCACUAUCAUCUCAUUUAGGCUUCCAGAGCCAUCACUAUCAUCUCAUUUAGGCUUCCAGAGCCGUCACUAUCGUCUCGUUUAGGCUUCCAAAGUCAUCACUGUCAUCUUGUUUAGGCUUCCAGAGCCAUUUCUAUCAUCUUGUUUAGGUUUCCAGAGCCAUUACCAUCAUCUUGUUUAGGCUUCCAGAGCCACUACUGUCAUCUUGCUUAGGCUUUCAGAGCCAUCACUAUCAUCUCAUUUAGGCUUCCAGAGCCAUCACUAUCAUCUCAUUUAGGCAUCCAGAGCCAUCACUAUUGUCUCGUUUAGGCUUCCAAAGCCAUCAUUGUCGUCUUGUUUAGGCUUCCAGAGCUGUUAUUUUCUAGUUUAGCUUUUAGAGUCAGUUUUUUGUUUGGUUUCCAGAGCUUUUACUUUCUUGGUUUAGUGAUUAGAGUUAGCUUUUCGGUUUGGCUUCCAGAGCUUUUAUUUUCUCAGUUUAGUGCCUAGAGUCGGUCUUGUCAUCCAGAGUCACAACUCCUGGCAUUCAUGUCCACUGGCAUUGCACAUCUUACCUUCAGGGUUUUGCAUUCGUCCUCGACUUUCCUCACUUCGUUACCCGGUGCUUAUCCCAUAUUCAUCUCGUACUCCAGGGUGGUUCGACCGUUACUCAUCUUUGACAUUGAUCUCUUGAGUCACCUGUAGAGAUGUCUUAGAGGGAGUCUGGGUCCUCGAUGCAGCUUUCGAGGCGCCUUGAGCCUCUCUUAGAAUUUUAGAGCCUCGAGUGAGUUUGUGUUCUACUUGUACCUUUCGGGUUCGGGGGUCUUUCUUUGUUCUUCGAUAGAGUUCACUUCAUUUCAGUCACUUUUCACACUUCUUUUUCACUCUAGUGUUCACAUUCCUUACACUCGUGAACUCUAUCAAAGAGGGGCAUAUUUGUAGACCCCCCCGGAGGCAGAGUUUUUUUUCUUGGGAUUUAUUUUAGGUCUUUUCUUUUUCCUACCUUUUUCUGAGGAGCCGCUCGCCAUGAUGGUCAGGAGCUGGUUUUUGGGGCAGAGAGGGGACUCAAGUGGGCGGCUCUCGGGGGGCAGAUUGGACGGGAUACGGCUGGCUUGCUGAGGAAGACACGAACAGAAGAAAAACAGAUGAAAAAAAGUAGAAAAAUAGAGAUCAAGAGGUACGGGGAUGCAGCAGACUGGGGGAGAGGCUUUUCUUCAGCCAGACAUCGAGAUCAGUGGGGGGGCCGGAGGAGGAGACGAGAGGAGCUUUCUUUGGGUAGGGGGAUGGAGAGAUAUUUUCUGGGAUAUUCACCGAGGGGCUCUGGAUCUUGCUGGUAGAGUAGACAGAGGUUGGCGGUAAUCUAAGUGAGCUUCAUUGAAGAGGAGAUNNNNNNNNNNNNNNNNNNNNNNNNNNNNNNNNNNNNNNNNNNNNNNNNNNNNNNNNNNNNNNNNNNNNNNNNNNNNNNNNNNNNNNNNNNNNNNNNNNNNNNNNNNNNNNNNNNNNNNNNNNNNNNNNNNNNNNNNNNNNNNNNNNNNNNNNNNNNNNNNNNNNNNNNNNNNNNNNNNNNNNNNNNNNNNNNNNNNNNNNNNNNNNNNNNNNNACUUCCGAAUUUAAGUUUCAAUCUCAAAGAUUCCACUAUUCACGUUCAUUCGUUUAAAUAUUAUUCUCAUUAUUAUUAUUAUCAUUUCAUUAAUUUAUUUUACAAAUUCCAAUAAUUAAAGUUCUAUUUUUCAAAAUUCCGUUUUCCAAUUUUAAUUUUCAAUCUCAAAAAUUUCACUAUUCACAUUCAGCUGUUUAAUGAUUAUUUUCGUUAUUAUUAUUAUCCCGCUCAUUUAUUUAUUCACUUAUUCAUACAUUUAAAACCUCAUCUCCAAAUAAUUUCCCAAAAUUUAAAUCUCUAAAUUCAAUCUCCAAUCUCUAAAAUUCUAUUUUUUUGCAAUUAUUUACUUAAUAUUUAUUAUUUAAUCAUUAUUAUUAUUCCAUUUAUUUAUUUAUUCACUUAUUUAUUUAUUAAAAUUCCGUCUUUAAAUAAUUCUUCAAAAUUCUAAUUCCCAAAUUUAGUUUUCUGAAAUUCCAAAAUCUUUCAAAUUUAAUUUUUAAAAUUCUCAUUCUUAUACUUAAUUUCUAAAAAUCCAAUUUUCAAAUAAUCUCUAAGACUCCGAUUUUCAAAAAGCUAGUUUUCCUUCGAACAAUCUUAAUUUAUGUUUGGUAAUGCAUGUGAUAUAUUUCGUGUUCUAUAUUGUGCACUGACUCUGUUUCCACGAUAGCGCGUUGCUGUUUGCUGCCCAGGUAAGCAUUCACUCAUUUUGAUCAUUCAUAAUACACAUUCUGAUUCCCAUAUACGCAUGAUUGAUGUGAGUAUCCAUAGACUUUCUUAUUGACUGCCACGUCAGCUUCAUUCUAUUAGUAGAGACCCGACUUUAGGGACUUAAAGGGGUGCUACGGUCUUUACCGUACCUUCCCGAUAAGUAACCUGACCCCCGAACCCGAUCUGGUUUUUCACAGACCACAUUUUCCAAAAUAAGGAGUCACACUUAGGGUUUUUCUUUCUUAUUUUGUUUACCCUUUAAAAAUAAAACAAAAAUAAGUGGCGACUCCAAGUCAUUUUUCUUAAUCAAUAAAAAUCAAUUUUUCAAAUAAAAAAUCGAGUUUCGCCAUCGAGUGGGAAACGCAUUCGAGCGAUCGAAAUGCGGGGUCCACACAUAUCAAAUACUUUUAACAAACAAAAUAAAACAAAAAAUAAAUUCAUGAAUAACAAACUAAACGGAUAUGCACAAUGAAAAUCUAAACAAAUCUAUUUCUAUGUAUAUAGAAAGAAAAUUAAAACAAAUAUAUACAACAAAAAUUAGGAGGACAAUGAUGAAUAAGUAAACUUAGCGGUGCAAUCCCAAUAACAAUAAUGACUUCCAAAAGCUUACAAGAUGAAGCUCAAAUAUACAAAAACUUUCAAUCCUCUCACAAAUAUCACAGAAAAUACACAGAAGAUUAAGAAAAGUCCCAAGAGUCGUCCUUCUCCCUUGUUUCUUGCUCUUAUCUUCCUUUUUAAUCCAAAAAUUUUGGUAUUUAGUUAGCCCAACUCAUGCCUUGUCUUCAACUGCUCCAACUACUCCUAUGUUUUUCCACUCUCAUCAUAGUGCUAAAACACUCAUCCAAAUAAGAAAAACGAAUAAGCAUAUAUAUAUAUAUAUAUAUAUAUCAAAGCCCAAUAAAAAUAAAAAGAAAGCUCAAAUGCAAUUCAACCUAAAUAGCAAGUCUAACACAAACAAUAAGCCCAAACCUUGAAUUAGGAAUGAAGCCCAAAUACAAUAAGAAUUAAAGCCUGAGAUUAGGCCUA
rnacentral:lncRNA from 1 species